UACAGAGGUGGCAAGCGUUGUUCGGAAUUACUGGGCGUAAAGGGCGCGUAGGCGGUCUUGCAAGUCCUGUGUGAAAUCCCUCGGCUCAACUGAGGAACUGCACAGGAAACUGCUUGGCUUGAGUUCGGGAGAGGGAAGCGGAAUUCCCGGUGUAGCGGUGAAAUGCGCAGAUAUCGGGAGGAACACCCGUAGCGAAGGCGGCACUCUGGGCCGGUACUGACGCUGAGGAGCGAAAGCGUGGGGAGCAAACAGG
rnacentral:rRNA from 1 species